AAAUGUACCUUCCUGUCUCAGGUUGCAGUACCUGGGUUCACUGUAAUGGCAGGGUGGCUGCAUUUAGGUGGCAGUACUUUUAGAGAGUAAAACCUCGUCUUUUAUUGUGUAUUCAAUGAAGCUGCUUCCGGAACGGCUCCUGUAGGGCAGAGAUCACCCUUGUAACAAAGUGUUGUCUCUUUAAAACAUAUGACUUAAGAGGCAAAACAGGAGUCCUGGGUAAAUUCAGUGUCAGUCUUAGGUCACUGGGAAUCAGACAAGUGACUUCAUGUAAAGCCAGCCAGGUCUGCUCUAAAAGACAUUUUUGUUUACUACUUUUAAAAAGUAGCUCUAGUUAGAAAUAGUCAACCCCCACCCUUUUUCCAAGAUAGGGCACACUAUUUAUUUAGCUCUGGCAGGCUGGCCUUGAACUUACUGAGUUCAGGCUAGCCAGAGAUACAUAGACCCCUGUUUCAGACAGACAAACACCAAACACUCUCCACCUAGACUGGUGUGGCUCACUGUUGAGUAACAAAGCUGUUACUAGAAGCCAGGCCUUCUGACCUUUAACUGAGACUUGGUUUGCACACAGUGCGAUGCAGAUCACAGGGAGGACAGAACCACAUGUCCUAUUUUGUCUUUC
rnacentral:lncRNA from 1 species